rnacentral:rRNA from 1 species
UACGGAGGAUGCGAGCGUUAAUCGGAAUUACUGGGCGUAAAGCGCACGCAGGCGGUUUGUUAAGCUAGAUGUGAAAGCCCCGGGCUCAACCUGGGAUGGUCAUUUAGAACUGGCAGACUAGAGUCUUGGAGAGGGGAGUGGAAUUCCAGGUGUAGCGGUGAAAUGCGUAGAUAUCUGGAGGAACAUCAGUGGCGAAGGCGACUCCCUGGCCAAAGACUGACGCUCAUGUGCGAAAGUGUGGGUAGCGAACAGG